rnacentral:rRNA from 2 species
UACGUAGGGACCAAGCGUUGUUCGGAUUUACUGGGCGUAAAGGGCGCGUAGGCGGCAAUUCAAGUCAUCUGUGAAAUCUCCGGGCUUAACUCGGAAUGGUCAGGUGAUACUGCUUUGCUAGAGUGCAGAAGGGGCAAUCGGAAUUCUUGGUGUAGCGGUGAAAUGCGUAGAUAUCAAGAGGAACACCUGAGGUGAAGACGGGUUGCUGGGCUGACACUGACGCUGAGGCGCGAAAGCUAGGGGAGCAAACGGG